AGAUCAAAAGGUAAGGGUGGUAAAGGAACUUAUGAUCUGAUCCUUCAACUAGAGAAUUUUUAUACUAGGGAUCCUCAGACUCAAUCGCUGAAGGGUUCCCAAGUUUUACACAUACACCCUCGGUUUGAAGAAAAGAUCAUAGCCGAGCCCUCGGGCGAGGCGGAUAGGGGUCGGCGGAACAGAUAGGGUCGAGCAAGACGGAACCGGGGUCGGGCGGAUAAGAGGGGUCGGGCGAAGUGGACUGGGGUCGGCAGCUUACCUUCUUCCUACAAGGAAAGCUUGGGGUCGGGAAGAAGCAGACUUGGGCGGAGGGACUAAGGCUUUGAACAACGGCUAAGUCCGGCAGUGCUCCGACGGCGGUGGUGCUUCUUGUGGAUCACAAGUGAGCUUUUACGCAGCACGGAGGAGCAAGCGGCUGGGUGGCUUGGGGAAAACGGAGUGGAGCCGAGAGGAGAGUUCCUCAGGAACUUAGGGUGUG
rnacentral:lncRNA from 1 species